AGAAUCAACGCUGGCGGCGUGCCUAACACAUGCAAGUCGCACGAGAAAGGGACUUCGGUCCUGAGUACAGUGGCGCACGGGUGAGUAACACGUGAAUAAUCUACCUCCGAGUGGGGAAUAACUGAGAGAAAUCUUAGCUAAUACCGCAUAACACUUACGAGUCAAAGCAGCAAUGCGCUUGGAGAGGAGUUCGCGGCAGAUUAGUUAGUUGGCGGGGUAAUGGCCCACCAAGACGAUGAUCCGUA
rnacentral:rRNA from 1 species